UACGGAGGAGGCGAGCGUUAUCCGGAUUUAUUGGGUUUAAAGGGUGCGUAGGCGGUCCGUUAAGUCAGCGGUAAAAUUGCGGGGCUCAACCCCGUCGAGCCGUUGAAACUGGCAGACUUGAGUUGGCGAGAAGUACGCGGAAUGCGCGGUGUAGCGGUGAAAUGCAUAGAUAUCGCGCAGAACUCCGAUUGCGAAGGCAGCGUACCGGCGCCACACUGACGCUGAGGCACGAAAGCGUGGGGAUCGAACAGG
rnacentral:rRNA from 1 species